GCCCAUGUGGCCUAAUGGAUAAGGCGUCGGUCUCCUAAACCGAAGAUUGCGGGUUCAAGUCCC
rnacentral:tRNA from 1 species